rnacentral:lncRNA from 1 species
AGGCCAGACCAGGGCAGUGCUGUGAGGCCCCAACACCCUUCGGUAGGCGACAUGAGUGGGGGACAGAUUCUAACACCUUGAUUCCUCAUGUGUGUGUUUCUGCAGUGUGGAGCACUGUGAGUCUGUGUGGCAGCGUCCACGAUGAAGAUGACACAGACUCGGUGGUGGAGAGCAGCAACAGCCACCAGGACGAGGAGGCUGCAGAAUCUUGCUUUGGGAGGAAAGGAUCUUGCUUCAGGAGCCUGAGGAUAAGUUUGUCCUCUGCGAGCUUGGCUAGACUAAUCCCCUGGUGGCCGCACAACAGGGUGCACCCAGCCACUGAGCCAGAUGAAGGUACUGUGGAACCUGACUCAGUACACUCAGGCAUGAACGAUGAUUCUGGUUCAUUCAGUGCUCCAGAUUUCAGAACAAACUCUACAGGUGCUAAGCCGUAUCUCUCUUCUAGUGCAUGGUGCAAAUUCAAAUGAACUAACUCGGAGUUCCGGUCGUGGCGCAGUGGUUAAAGACUCCGACUAGGAACCAUGAGGUUGCGAGUUGGAUCUCUGGCCUUGCUCAGUGGGUUAAGGAUCCGGGGUUGCCGUGAGCUGUGGUGUUGGCCACAGAUGCGGUUCGAAUCCCGAGUUGCAGUGGCUGUGGCGUAGGCCAGUGGCUACAACUCUGAUUAGACCCCUCUCCUGGGCGCCUGCGCAUGCCAAGGGAAGCGGGCCUAGAAAAGGCAAAAUGACCAAAACCCAACCAACCAACCAAAACCCAAAUUGAAUCACUCCCUGGGCACUUUCACAACCAUGAAAAUAAUGGUUCGUUUAAACUCAACAUUUGGUUCCUGGUUAAUAGCAGAGAUGCCCUCACUCAUGUUUUGACAUUUGCAAUAGUUGAUAUUUGGGCUAGUUGUGCUGGAUCCCUCCACGGAACCACAUUUCCCAACUUGAAAACAAUACUAGACGCGAUUUAGAACAAGGUCAUAUGAACAAGACAUGGUGAACAGCUAUCACAGAGAGCUACUGUAAGCCAUUCCUCCAAUGUCCACCAUUGACAACGUCCAGCACGGAAUGGGGAACAUGUGGUGCCUGAGCGGCAAAAGAGUCAUACCAUUUUAGUCAGUGAGAAGUUCCCCGUUUACAUUCAGAUUCAUUUUUUGUGCUGUGACGUGAGUUGAGGUUGGACACCUGCACAAUGUUAGGAGUCCCUGGUAUGUUAUUACCAUAGAGGACGUGUACACUGCCGUUUGUAGCAGCGGGUUAUUCCCAAUAGCCAAAAGGUGAAACCACUCCCAAAGACAAGAAGAGAUCAGGGGACAGAUCCAAUGUGCCGUGUACCCAGAAGAGAACAGUAUUCUGCCAGAAACAAAAUUAAACUUUUAAAUAGGUGACCACAUGGUUGAUUCCAAAGAAAACACAGUUUUAACAUUGAGUGAGGAGUUCCGUGGUGGCAUGGCAGAAGUGACUCCGACUAGGAAGCCUGAGAUUG